rnacentral:lncRNA from 1 species
UUUUCGCUGAACUAGUUUAUAUUUGUGUUUAGGAGCUUUAACACAUUCCCCAUUUCCAUUCUCAAUUUAAUUUCAAAUGAUGUCCGCUUCUGAUCGUACAUGAUCUUUAUAACGUCAUACUUAGUUAAGUUAAAUAGUGUCUUACUAUUGGAAUAGUUACUGAACGAACCUUUUGGGAAAUGUAAAAAUGGAGAAAAAAAAUAAGAAACGGCUGCGAAAUUAUUAAGUCAGAUCCCCUUGAAUGUUCUCUGUGACGUCACUAGAAAGGAAUGUAUAAAGAAAUAAAGUAUGCAGUCAACUAAACCAUAAAGCCAGUUAUAAUACUAUUUUGCAGACUUAAAUAGAGCAAGUAUGACACAACGUGAAAAUGCAACUUGAAUUUAUCAUUUCAAAAUCAUGACUAACAUAUGUUUUUUGUUGUUGCUAUAUUAUAACAUUUAAAACGUUACCCUAGAUAAUGGGAUAUGUAGCACACGUAAACAACCUAAUGGAAUAUAAAAUAUUUAUACCUUUAACUUUUUCAAUGGAAACCGGUUCAGCAGUUUUCAAUUGACAUUUGUUUGCAAAACACAUAUAAUCCAUCAAUCAUUAACAUUGCUCAAACAAAUCAAAUGAAUACAGUAUAUAAAGUUUGAAAAUAAAGAAAAGGAAGAACAGAAAUUGAAAAUACCACUAAUUAUAACUCUUUAAACAAUUGCCGUGACGUCAGCCUAUUAAUUUACCGUGGUUUUUUUUUUUUUUAUUCAACGCAACUGAAAUCUGUGAGCCUAACUUUAUUAAGUUAUAUUUGGCUAAUUUACAGAUUUUGAUUCGCAAUUGGAAUUAAUUUUGAAACUUAUCCUUUUGUAAUUUGUAUAUGUUUUGGAAUCGAGCCCCUCCUUUACAUAUGUUAUGUGAGAUUGACAUCAACACACCAACAUGAUCAAUGAAACCUCUCGGCUACCAAUUGGUUGUAUUUCAGAUGUCUAUAGAUAAAUAUAAGCGUACAUAUGAUACACAUCGGUACGACGGAAACACAGGACUUGUACCUUUAUUUAUACAAAAUAUACAAUCAUAAUACCAAAAAUUGACAACAACAUUUCAAAUGGUCUGCAAUUUUAUUUGCUAUGGUCUACAUGUUUCGCCUGCAAGGAGGCUUCAUCAGCUUAAUGUUGCAUUUAUUUGCAUAAUUUGACAACCCUGCAUACCAGGGUAUCCACUUCAGGGACUCUAAAGAAAUGAUUCACACAGGCGUUGGUUCACCACAUGGAGUUUAAAAUAUACAAUCGUAUAGUAGAAGUUGAAUAAUAUUCAGAUGUAUUAUAAUUUAAAGACAGACGUGUUAUUUUAUGUUUUGUAUUUUUCUAAACAAUGAACUGCGAAGCUUGAUUUAGUAGUGUACUAUAACAUGAUUAUUUGAACUAAAUUACAAAAUAUUAUAAAUAACUUAGUAAGGAUGUAUACUUCUAACAUUUCAGUCUU